rfam:Canis lupus familiaris chromosome 21, whole genome shotgun sequence.
AGGAGGAACAACCCCAGUGGCUGCUGCAGCUCUGGAGCCCUGGAUUCAGCCCCCGCAGUAACUCCAGAGCUCUCUGUCUGCAGGGCCUGGAGGCUCCGGGGCGGG